ACGACGAAUACUUAGUCAAGAUCAUUGCUAUAGUAUUUGUGAUGUUUUAUUGUUAAAAACGAACAGAUUGUCGAGAAGUGAUGAUGAUUUGGCACUGCUCGGAUAUGAAAUUAAUUUUCAACAUUUUUUACAAUUUCCUUUUUGAGAUUGUUUAAAGUGUCCGAAAAGCGAUGAAUUAUUUCUUUUUCCUCAAUUUAAAAGAUUUUAUAAUCCUUUUUUUUGUUGAAGAGAAAACGAGCAUGUGUCGACUGAACUUUU
rnacentral:snoRNA from 2 species